GGCGGCGUGCUUAACACAUGCAAGUCGAGCGGAAAGGCCCUUCGGGGGUACUCGAGCGGCGAACGGGUGAGUAACACGUGAGCAACCUGCCCCUGACUCUGGGAUAAGCCCGGGAAACUGGGUCUAAUACCGGAUAUGACCGCCCCUGGCAUCGGGUGGUGGUGGAAAGUUUUUUCGGUUGGGGAUGGGCUCGCGGCCUAUCAGCUUGUUGGUGGGGUAGUGGCCUACCAAGGCGACGACGGGUAGCCGGCCUGAGAGGGCGACCGGCCACACUGGGACUGAGACACGGCCCAGACUCCUACGGGAGGCAGCAGUGGGGAAUAUUGCGCAAUGGGCGGAAGCCUGAGCCAGCGACGCCGCGUGGGGGAUGACGGCCUUCGGGUUGUAAACCUCUUUCAGCAGGGACGAAGUUGACGUGUACCUGCAGAAGAAGCGCCGGCUAACUACGUGCCAGCAGCCGCGGUAAUACGUAGGGCGCAAGCGUUGUCCGGAACUAUUGGGCGUAAAGAGCUCGUAGGUGGCUGAUCGCGUCUGCCGUGAAAGCCCGCAGCUUAACUGCGGGUCUGCGGUGGAUACGGGCCGGCUAGAGGUAGGUAGGGGCAAGUGGAAUUCCUGGUGUAGCGGUGAAAUGCGCAGAUAUCAGGAGGAACACCGGUGGCGAAGGCGGCUUGCUGGGCCUUACCUGACGCUGAGGAGCGAAAGCGUGGGGAGCGAACAGGAUUAGAUACCCUGGUAGUCCACGCUGUAAACGUUGGGCGCUAGGUGUGGGGAUCUUCCACGAUCUCCGUGCCCGAGCUAACGCAUUAAGCGCCCCGCCUGGGGAGUACGGCCGC
rnacentral:rRNA from 1 species